rnacentral:rRNA from 1 species
CUGGUGAUCUGCCAGUAGUCGUAUGCUUCGUUCAAGGGCUAAGCCAUGCAUGUCUCAGCGUACAUGGACUCAACAGUGGAUCUGUGAAUGGCUCCUUACAUCAGCAGUCAUCUCUGUGAUAGAGUGUGGAUGGCAUCAGCUCCCAGAUGCCCAACUGGACAUCCUCCAAAACCUAGUGGCUAAUACACGGUCGCCCAAGUCUGCCUCACCAAGAGCUCUGUUUGCUGUGUGGUCUCUGUUGCUUCCCGCUUCAGAGCUGGUGGUGGAUUGCACCCAGCCGCUGGCAAGACUAGCACCCGCAUUCAGGGUAGUGUGUGACGGUUGACUCAGGCUGGUCCCCUUCAUCCUGUGGACGGUUGCGCUGGCAGAGUGGUGGCCUCAUGGUCACAGCAUUGCUUGAUCACACGAGCUUCUGACCUAUCAGCUUUGACUGUGCUGUCUUGGACCACAGUGGCAGUGACGGGUAACAGAGAAUCAGGGUUCGAUUCUGGAGAGGGAGCCUGAGAGAUGGCUACCACUACCAAGGUGGGCAGCAGGCACGCAAAUUGCCCAAUGCUGAAGCAACUCCGGUGAGGCAGCAACGAACUGCAGCAACCCCGCCUGUCCUUGUGAUCGGUGGGGCUUGGAAUGGAUGCAAUCCAAACACAGUGAUGAGUAUCAACUGGAGGGCAAGUCUGGUGCCAGCAGCCGCGGUAAUUCCAGCUCCAUGAGUGUACACUAACACUGCUGCUGUUAAAACACUUGUAGUCGGAUGCUGGGUGCAGGUCUGCCAGGUGGCCAUCCGUCCGUUGCCUCGUGUGACGGCGGUGGAACUCAACCCCUGGCAGUAAGUUCCUGCACCCGACCUUCAAUGUUGGUGUGACUCGUCCCUGCUCCAAGUCUCCUUCAGUGGGGAUCGAUGCUGUUGUGCAUGCCAAACGCUCAUGUGCUGGCAAGCUGGGUCAGAGCUCUGUGCUCUGCAACUCCCACUGCCCACGACCGGGAUCAACCAACGCAGUCACUGUGGAGAACUCAGUGUGCCUCAAGCAGCCAGUCUCGGCUGGAUGCUCGUCCAUGGAAUGUCAAAGCAUUGACCUGAUGCGGCUAUGGAGUUGUGCUACGUCUUGGUGCUCAUUCAGGGGAAUCUGGUGCAGCGGCCUUCUGGGUCUGUUGGGCUUCAGCCCGCCCCCGUGGCAGGUUGGUCUGCGGCCUGUUGGUUUGCUGUACUGUUCAGCCAUGAUGGGACUGCUCAGGGUGAAGGCUACUGCAGCGCUAGUGGUGAAAUACUCAGACCGCUGCAAGAGCAACUGCAGCGAAGGCGCUCUGCAAGGGCAUGUUCGUCGAUCAAGAAUGAGAGUGUGGGGAGCGAAGAUGAUCAGACACCGUCGUAGUCCACCACUGUAAACCAUGCCAGCUCAGUGUUGAAGGUGCAAGUCUCCUGACUCCUCCAGCGCUAUGCCCCCAGCAACGAGAAAUCCAAGCCUUUGGGUUCAGGGGGAAGUACUGUCGCAAGGCUGAAACUUAAAGGAAUUGACGGAAUGGCACCACCAGGCGUGGAAUGUGCGGCUUAAUUUGACUCAACACGGGGAAGCUUACCAGGCCAGGACGUUGCUGGGAUGGACAGACUGAGAGCUCUUUCUUGAUCCUUCGGCUGGUGGUGCAUGGCCGCUCCUGAUUGGUGGAGUGAUUUGUCUGGUUGAUUCCGAUAACGAGUGAGAUCUCUGCCUCCCAAUAGCCCCAGCUCUGCACUUGGUAGAGUCUAGGCCGUGGUGUCUGCAUUGCCGGCUGGUUCGGCGGUGUGGCCCUGGUCCUUGCUCGAAGAGCGUGGGUUCAGCUUCUCUGAGGUGCUGUGUGUGCUGCCAAACACAUGCAUGCUAGAGCCAACAGCAGGUCUGUGAUGCUCCCAGAUGCCCUGGGCCGCACGCGCAUUACAUUGAGCUGGUGAGUGAGUGCUGCACAUCUCUGAGUGUGCCCUGUGUGGAAGUGCAUGGGAAACCCUGUGAACCCAAUGUCGCUCGUACUGGGGAUAGAUGAUUGCAACUGUCUGCCUUGAACGAGGAAUGCCUAGUAAGCUCCAGUCAUCAGCUGGAACUGAUUGCGUCCCUGCCAUUUGUACACACCGCCCGUCGUUGCUACCGAUGGCAGCUUGAUAGAGCCAUCUGGAGACUGCAGUGGGUGACCGUGCUCCGGCUCGGUGGGCCUCUGGGUCAAACUUGGGCAAUGUCCAGCUGCUAGAGGAAGCAAAAGUC